rnacentral:rRNA from 1 species
GACGAACGCUGGCGGCGUGCCUAACACAUGCAAGUCGAACGGAACGGCCCUGCUUUUUUGCGGUCCUCGAGUGGCGCACGGGUGAGUAACCCUUGAGUAACCUGCCCCUGACUUUGGGAUAUCUUCAGACAAGUGGGGCUCAUACCGCCUAGGAUCUCCUGCCGCUUGGUGGGCGUUGGAUAGUUUCGGCGGUUGGGGGUGUACUAGCGGCUUAUCAGCUUGUUGGGGGGGUAGUGGCUUACCAAGGCUUUGACGGGUAGCCGGCCUGGGAGGGUCAACGGCCACAUUGGGACUGAGAUACGGCCCAGACUCCAACGGGAGGCAGCAGUGGGGAAUAUUGCACAAUGGGCGGAAGCCUGAUGCAGCAACGCAGCGUGCGGGAUGACGGCAUUCGGGUUGUAAACCGCUUUCGCCUGUGACGAAGCGUGAGUGACGGUAAUGGGUAAAGAAGCACCGGCUAACUACGUG